CCAGCAGCUGCGGUAAUUCCAGCUCCGAUAGCGUAUAUUAAAGUUGUUGCAGUUAAAAAGCUCGUAGUUGGAUUUCUGGUAGGAUGACUGUGCCCUCAGUAGAGCGUGCGCAGAAAUAUCUUACCAUCCUUCUGUUAACCUGUCUUGUCAUUAUAUUGGCGGAUAGGGGCUCAGAUAUUUUACCUUGAGAAAAUUAGAGUGUUUCAGGCAGGCUAGCGUCGGAAUACAUUAGCAUGGAAUAAUGGAAUAGGACUUGAACCUCUUCUGUUGGUCUAAGGGGUGCAAGUAAUGAUUAAUAGGGAUAGUUGGGGGCAUUAGUACUUAACUGUCAGAGGUGAAAUUCUCGGAUUUGUUAAAGACUAACCUAUGCGAAAGCAUUUGCCAAGGAUGUUUUCAUUAAUCAAGAACGAAAGU
rnacentral:rRNA from 1 species